rnacentral:lncRNA from 1 species
UUAUCAUGAGGCGGGGCCUGUCCCGACCCUUAUAAGAUAACGUUUCUUGUCUAGAGGCUUUGUAGACUACGUAAAGUAUAGUAUGGUCAUGUAUCGUAUCGUAGACAUUGUGGCUCCAACGGCCUAGUCAUAUAAUAUCUUUUGGCUUGCUAGUCCUAUUUAUCUUUUGAGGGCAUGUUUAGUAUGAAAGUAACUUAUAAUGUUCAUAGGUAAUGUAUCGCUACAGGUUGGUUCUCCCGAGCCUUACCGGCAACGGGUGCCAGUCCGCCUUAAUAGGA